AGAGUUUGAUCCUGGCUCAGGAUGAACGCUGGCGGCGUGCCUAACACAUGCAAGUCGAGCGAUCUUCUUCGGAAGAGAGCGGCGGACGGGUGAGUAACGCGUGGGUAACCUGCCCUGUACACACGGAUAACAUACCGAAAGGUAUGCUAAUACGAGAUAAUAUGUUUUUGUCGCAUGGUAGAAGUAUCAAAGCUUUUGCGGUACAGGAUGGACCCGCGUCUGAUUAGCUAGUUGGUAAGGUAACGGCUUACCAAGGCGACGAUCAGUAGCCGACCUGAGAGGGUGAUCGGCCACAUUGGAACUGAGACACGGUCCAAACUCCUACGGGAGGCAGCAGUGGGGAAUAUUGCACAAUGGGCGAAAGCCUGAUGCAGCAACGCCGCGUGAGCGAUGAAGGCCUUCGGGUCGUAAAGCUCUGUCCUCAAGGAAGAUAAUGACGGUACUUGAGGAGGAAGCCCCGGCUAACUACGUGCCAGCAGCCGCGGUAAUACGUAGGGGGCUAGCGUUAUCCGGAAUUACUGGGCGUAAAGGGUGCGUAGGUGGUUUCUUAAGUCAGAGGUGAAAGGCUACGGCUCAACCGUAGUAAGCCUUUGAAACUGGGAAACUUGAGUGCAGGAGAGGAGAGUGGAAUUCCUAGUGUAGCGGUGAAAUGCGUAGAUAUUAGGAGGAACACCAGUUGCGAAGGCGGCUCUCUGGACUGUAACUGACACUGAGGCACGAAAGCGUGGGGAGCAAACAGGAUUAGAUACCCUGGUAGUCCACGCCGUAAACGAUGAGUACUAGCUGUCGGAGGUUACCCCCUUCGGUGGCGCAGCUAACGCAUUAAGUACUCCGCCUGGGAAGUACGCUCGCAAGAGUGAAACUCAAAGGAAUUGACG
rnacentral:rRNA from 1 species